GCUUACGGCCACACCGCCUGGUUCACGCUUUGAUCUCGGAAGCUAAGAUAGGUUGGGCCUGGUUAGUACUUGGAUGGGAGACCGCCUGGGAAUACCAGGUGCUGUAUGCU
rnacentral:rRNA from 1 species